rnacentral:rRNA from 1 species
UCCUCCAAGGCUAAAUACUCCUGACUGACCGAUAGUGAACCAGUACCGUGAGGGAAAGGCGAAAAGAACCCCGGCGAGGGGAGUGAAAAAGAACCUGAAACCGUGUACGUACAAGCAGUGGGAGCCUCUUUUAUGGGGUGACUGCGUACCUUUUGUAUAAUGGGUCAGCGACUUAUAUUCUGUAGCAAGGUUAACCGAAUAGGGGAGCCGAAGGGAAACCGAGUCUUAACUGGGCGUUAAGUUGCAGGGUAUAGACCCGAAACCCGGUGAUCUAGCCAUGGGCAGGUUGAAGGUUGGGUAACACUAACUGGAGGACCGAACCGACUAAUGUUGAAAAAUUAGCGGAUGACUUGUGGCUGGGGGUGAAAGGCCAAUCAAACCGGGAGAUAGCUGGUUCUCCCCGAAAGCUAUUUAGGUAGCGCCUCGUGAAUUCAUCUCCGGGGGUAGAGCACUGUUUCGGCAAGGGGGUCAUCCCGACUUACCAACCCGAUGCAAACUGCGAAUACCGGAGAAUGUUAUCACGGGAGACACACGGCGGGUGCUAACGUCCGUCGUGAAGAGGGAAACAACCCAGACCGCCAGCUAAGGUCCCAAAGUCAUGGUUAAGUGGGAAACGAUGUGGGAAGGCCCAGACAGCCAGGAUGUUGGCUUAGAAGCAGCCAUCAUUUAAAGAAAGCGUAAUAGCUCACUGGUCGAGUCGGCCUGCGCGGAAGAUGUAACGGGGCUAAA